UUCCAUGGUGGAUCGUGCGGGGAGACCUCCGGGUCUGCCGGGUCCUACUGCCGGUCUGUCAACCCCGCACGUUCCACCUCCCUU
rnacentral:antisense_RNA from 1 species